UAAUGUGUUAUACGGCAGGUCAUUUAUUUUAAUGAAGUUAAAACAUGUGCACCUCUGGAUCCCACGUCUAGAGGGACACGAGGAAAUUAAAACACAUUCAGAAGACAUUGACCAGAUGAUGUGUGAGUCAUGAAACCAGACAUUGCAGAGAAAGUGUUGGAGAUCUAUGGGAUUGGAGAGUUAUUUAAGGUUUUAAAAACUGCUGGAGGUUGGAGUCUGUCCUGUGUUUUCAUAAGUUGAAGCUAAUGGAUACAUCUCACAGCUAUCUGCACCUAGAUGUCUGCUCUGGCUCCUGUCAAUGCUGCAGUUGUCUAAGGAUCAGAGGAAUGAGGAUGGGCCCUGAAGCUAGAGGUAGAGAGAGACAGUGGCAGCACUCAGAUGAGCUGUGACACUUGUGGGCUUGGACCUCUGUAAAUCUGGAUGCUAACCCCUGUGUUUGCCACUCCCACCUCAGCAGUUACGAACCUAGAGAUCUUAUGGGAGAAGAAGAGAAAAAGUAACACUUUAUAUUUUCUUCAACUAUCCCUCUGAAAGAGAAUUUACUAAUGCAUUUGGGGCCACUUCAAAUGUUCUUUCCCUCAGGGGAAGAUUUAACAAGAUAGAGAAUUUCAUGCACCUGAAAUCUGGAAGGAAGGCUGUCUACAAAAGAUAGACUUCAGUGGGUGGACUGUUGGCCUCAAUCUUUAUUAAAAGGAAAAUGAGGCAGAAAAGAAACCCCCACAUAAAUCAGGAAACCAUCCUAAGCUGUAAAAGUUUUGCUCAAAUGUGAAAUAUUUAUAUCCUCUUAAAUUCACCCAUGUUGUUAAAAAGAUCCCUGGGAUACUAGAUUUCUAUUAAGAAUUUUACAUAUUCUAGUUAUGAAUGUCAAGUAGCUGACAAGUAGCAACGUAUGUAAUAUAUGAGAGAUUGAGAAAAUAUGUUUUUAAUAGUGUAAUUGAAAGAAUUUCUGCAUCAUGUUACUAUACUUUCCAGUCAUAAAAAUACAUAAUAAAAUGCAAACUGAAGGAACUUUGCUUUAAUUCAAAAGUUAUAUUACAAAGGUUUCUGCUAAAAAAUAAAAUGUUUCCCUCCAUAAUACCAUAGCAAUAUCCCUUUAGACUUGACCACUUAUUUGAUAUAUACCCUCCUGAUUUAUGAGAAAAUUAGAAAAAGAAAGGAAGAGGAGAGUCUGCAUUUGCACCAUAGCAAGUCAAAGCAAUACCAGGCUAUACUGCUUAGCGUUCUUUCAACUAGUUAGAAGACACAGCAGAUGCAAGGAUUCUCAAAGUGUCUGUGACAGAAUGGAUGGAACCUUUGGCAAGCACCAUUCCCACAACUGGCGAGUAGGAUCCUAAGAGCCAGAACAUAUAAGUCUGGGAACCAGACUUGGAUGUGAGAGUGAUGACUUGACUGGCCCUGAGCUAACAUCCGCGCCCAUCUUCCUCUACUUUUUAUAUGUGGGAUGUCUACCACAGCAUAGCUUGCCAAGCAGUGCCAUGUCUGCACCCAGGAUUCGAACUGGCGAACCCCAGGCUGCUGAAGCAGAACAUGUGCACGUGACCUCUGUGCCACCAGGCCGGCCCCUGAUAUGCUUUUAAACAUUACAUGAUCUCCAUUUGUUGUUUGAAUCAUUGUAAACCUGUGUCCGUGUAUUUCUUAUCCAUACAUAUUUAUUUAUUUAUUUAUUUUUUUAAAGAUUUUUUUUUUAUUUUUUCCUUUU
ensembl:lncRNA